UGUAUUUUCAGAUCAUCUAAACCUCACUCCUCCUCUUUCCUUCUUCUAAUCCUAGUUCCUCAACCACCGUUCAACAAUUUUAUUUCGACACCGUCAUCUCCGAUUUUCGACAAUGAACUCAUCACCAGUCCCUCCUUGUUGUCGUCAUCAUCACCUCUAUUAGAAAUAUGUAAGCCAUGAAUUCAUCUCUAAGUCAACAACAACAGUCACAUAUGUCACUUCAAGACCUCAAAAUUGUGGAAAUGAUUGUUCCCACUUCACUGCUGCUUAAUUGCUAGAUCUGCAAUGAUUUUAAGUUCCAAAUCUGGUUGUUGUCAUCACCUCGACCACCGUCACGGGUGUCAACUAGAUUGGCUAACCUUGCUCACUGUGCUUUGUUUCUUGUAUUUCUCAGAUAUGGCCGGAUCUGAGUGUAUACUGAAUUUUUUAAUGCAAAUACAAUAUAUUUUUUGUAUUUUCACCUGUA